UACAGAGACUGCAAGCGUUAUUCGGAUUCACUGGGCGUAAAGGGUGCGCAGGCGGUCGGGUGUGUCAGAUGUGAAAUCCCGAGGCUCAACCUCGGAACUGCGUCUGAAACUACUCGACUAGAGUACUGGAGAGGGUAACGGAAUUCACGGUGUAGCAGUGAAAUGCGUAGAUAUCGAGAGGAACACCUGCGGCGAAGGCGGGUUGCUGGGCUGACACUGACGCUGAGGCGCGAAAGCUAGGGGAGCGAACGGG
rnacentral:rRNA from 1 species